UACGUAGGGUGCGAGCGUUGUCCGGAAUUAUUGGGCGUAAAGAGCUUGUAGGCGGUCUGUCGCGUCUGCUGUGAAAAUCCGGGGCUCAACCCCGGACUUGCAGUGGGUACGGGCAGACUAGAGUGUGGUAGGGGAGACUGGAAUUCCUGGUGUAGCGGUGAAAUGCGCAGAUAUCAGGAGGAACACCCGUGGCGAAGGCGGCUCUCUGGGACGGUACUGACGCUGAGACGCGAAAGCGUGGGGAGCGAACAGG
rnacentral:rRNA from 1 species